CACAGAAUAAUGGAAAAGGGCCUCGGUUCUAUUUUGUUGUUUUUCGGAGCGCAAGGUAAUGAUUAAGAGAGACAGGCAAAGGCAUUGUCAUUGUGCCGUAAGAGGUCAAAUUCUUGGAUCGGCGCAAGACGAAUGACUGCGAAAGCAUUUGCAAAGAAUGUUUUCUUU
rfam:Ciona savignyi cont_11437, whole genome shotgun sequence.